GCACUGCUGAGGAGUGCCACAAUAGGACGAAACGGCCGUUUAGUGC
rnacentral:hammerhead_ribozyme from 1 species